GAGAUCUUAAUUUAAUGGUAGAAUACGAGACUUUUAAUCUUUGUUAUAUGGGUUCGAUUCCCAUAGAUCUUA
rnacentral:tRNA from 1 species